ACGAACGCUGGCGGCGUGCCUAAUACAUGCAAGUCGAGCGGAAUGAUGAAGAAGCUUGCUUCUUCUGAUUUUAGCGGCGGACGGGUGAGUAACACGUGGGCAACCUACCUUGUAGAUUGGGAUAACUCCGGGAAACCCGGGGCUAAUACCGAAUAAUCCAUUUUGCUUCAUGGCGAGAUGUUGAAAGACGGUUUCGGCUGUCACUACAAGAUGGGCCCGCGGCGCAUUAGCUAGUUGGUAGGGUAAUGGCCUACCAAGGCGACGAUGCGUAGCCGACCUGAGAGGGUGAUCGGCCACACUGGGACUGAGACACGGCCCAGACUCCGUACGGGAGGCAGCAGUAGGGAAUCUUCCACAAUGGACGAAAGUCUGAUGGAGCAACGCCGCGUGAGUGAAGAAGGUUUUCGGAUCGUAAAACUCUGUUGUAAGGGAAGAACACGUACGAGAGUAACUGCUCGUACCUUGACGGUACCUUAUUAGAAAGCCACGGCUAACUACGUG
rnacentral:rRNA from 1 species